GCAGACAUAGCUGAAGGCACAGCCUGAGGCCUGUGGGCCAGUGACCCCCCUCUCCGUCCAGGCUGGAGACCCCCCACUCCCAGUCCUGAGAGUGGGUUCAAGCAGAGGGCAGAUCUGGUGGGGGAAACAACAAGGACUGGCUCCCAUGGGGGGGAGGGGAAGGGGACUCUUGGUAUCUCUGUGACUGUUUAGUCUGCUUUGUAGGUGUGUGUGGAGGUAUUUCUGCCAAUAUUCAUAUAUGUGUGUGUCUCUUUCCGUGUUGUAUCUGCUUGAACAUUUUGUGGCUAAGUCUGUGUAUGAAUCCAUUCAGACUAGUCAACAAAUGCUAACUGGUGGUCUGCUUAGCACUGAUCUGCUUACACUUCCUAGGAAUGGGGGUGGGGGAAAGUCAGCAGUAAGUAGAACAGGCACAAAUCUUGCCCUGGUGGAGCUGACGCGAGGGCGGAGGGACAAUACAUGAAGAAGAUGCUCUCGGGAGCUGUCAAGUGCUCAGAGGGCCCUGGACCAGGGGAAUGUGAUGAAGAGCACCUGGGGCGGCUCCCGCAAGUGACAUGGGGCAGAGGCUUGAAUCCUGAAAAGGGGGCAGCUGUGCCAGGAACGAGGCGAACAUGUCAGGGAGGAAUGAGGCCGGCCGAGCACCCUGAGUGGCUAUGUAUUAUUCGUGAAGUGAUUCAUUGCUGGGAAGGUGACGGCUGUGGAGAGCAAACCAACACUGAAAUAUUGUGCCAGCGUCUGAAACAGUGAAGAACUCUUGGUGUUGCUGAAUGGUGCCCUGGUGAUAAUGGUGCACAGAGCAGAGGCUGAAAACGGACAUGAGGCCUGGGGCGGUGUGGCUCUUGGAGCCAGAGUGUGGCCGUGGUGAGCUGGGAGCGAGGGCUGUUUCUGGCGCUGCAUCUGGGCGAGCUUGACAGAUAAGGUAAUGGGAGCCAUUUGGACAGACUCGGGAAUGGCCGGGAAGAUGGGGGCCACUUGGCUGCUGGGGUAGCUGUGGGGGCAGGGAGAGAUGGGGGCCCUGGAGCCGCUCUAAAGACUUAGCAGAGGACUAGGCCUUCCCACAUCUUGGAGCAGCGCCACCCCUCUUGCUGUGUGGACACGAGCCUGGGAAGGGACACCUCCAGUGUGGACCUCUGCUCCUUCUGUGACCUGGGCCUGUGUGAGUCUGCCUGUGGCGUGCUGCGGGGGG